rnacentral:rRNA from 1 species
GACGAACCGUCCGAACGUUAUUCGGAAUCACUGGGCUUAAAGAGUGCGUAGGCGGCUUAUCAGGCGGGAUGUGAAAUCCCUCGGCCCAACCGAGGAACUGCGUUCCGAACCGAUAGGCUUGAGGAGGAUAGGGGCGAGCGGAACUGAUGGUGGAGCGGUGAAAUGCGUUGAUAUCAUCAGGAACACCUGUGGCGAAAGCGGCUCGCUGGGUCCUUACUGACGCUGAGGCACGAAAGCCAGGGGAGCGAAC